GGGCCGCUAGCUCAAUUGGAAGAGCAGCUGACUCUUAAUCAGCGGGUUCCGGGUUCGAGUCCCGGGCGGCCCCCCA
rnacentral:tRNA from 2 species